rnacentral:lncRNA from 1 species
CGCACUGAUCAGGUAUCGUUCAUCUCUCGACUCGACCUGCUGUGAAAGAGUUACAGCGUGCCUGAUACAUAAACUCUUUCCCCUCCCCACCAACGUCACCAUCCCUCCGAAACUAACAACAUGGAGUCCGGUGUUUAGAGUGCAAAGGCGGUCUUCACCGUUAGCUGCACCUAUAUGCUUUUCCCGGUGCUCCCGAGGGAAGGCAGCGACGCUCCGGGACGCAAAAAGCGCAACGCACACAUGCACAAUAUGCGCUCGUGCGUUCGUGCAACUUGAAUCCAUGUAGGACACGGAGAGCGCGAUGUGAUUGGACGCAGAAGAUUCCAAAGACAGGCCGCUUUCCGACAGGAGAAGUGGACAGCAGUUGCACCCAAGGGGACCAUGGAGCCUGAGGAUGAUCUCUCGACCAGGGACCCUCAAGAUCUGAUGUCCAGCCGAGGGCUACUGCCUUCAGCAUCCACCUCCUUACUCAGCUGCACCUUCCUGGGGGGGUUAUUGCAUUGUGAUGACACAAUGGAGAAGGGUGAUGGAAAUGGAGAUUCAGACGGUCCAAAAUGCUUUUCCCCCACACUGGAGCAAUGUGGUAAAGCACAGAGAAGUCCACGAUCUUCAGCCUUCCCCUCAUCUCUGACAUGGGACUCGGACUCGGAGAAAGACACCUUGGACGGUAAUAGUUUCUCUGGUUCAUUCUUACUUUCAAGUCAGUGAAAAAUACAUGCAUGUCUGAAUCAUACACUAUCAGGAAAAAAGGUACAAAAGCUGUAGGUACACUGUUGUUCGUUUUAGUUACUUAUAUGCACCCUUUAGGUACAAAAGUGUACCUUUUUUCCUAAAAGUGUAAGAAACAAUGACUGGAAAAGGGAAUCUGCUAUGAUUCAGCUAGUUUCAGACUGAGCUAUUCUGUGUUUGUACUGUGAAACAUGUCUCUCUGUGAACAACGUUAAUGGUUUUGUCUGUCUGCAUGCUGUAGAUAUAACUGUGAGUCUACUGCUUUCUGUUAAGUCAUGUGUAUAUUGUUUGUGUUCCUGUGUGGAUUCCAAUGGUUUAUGUCAGAGGAAGAACUUCAGCACUUUUCU